rnacentral:rRNA from 1 species
AUGAACGCUGGCGGCGUGCUUAACACAUGCAAGUCGAACGGGCCAUAUUCGUAUGGUUAGUGGCAGACGGGUGCGUAACACGUAGGUGACCUGCCUCGGAGUGGGGAACAACUCCGCGAAAGCGGAGCUAAUACCGCAUAGGCUCGGCGAGUCGAAUCGCAGAGUAAAGGCGCAAGUUGCUUCGAGAUGGGCCUGCGGCGGAUUAGCUAGUUGGUGGGGUAACGGCCUACCAAGGCGAUGAUCCGUAGGGGGCGUGAGAGCGUGGCCCCCCACAUUGGCACUGAGACACGGGCCAAACUCCUACGGGAGGCAGCAGUGAGGAAUAUUGCGCAAUGGGCGAAAGCCUGACGCAGCAACGCCGCGUGAGGGACGAAGGCCUUCGGGUCGUAAACCUCUUUUCUGGGGAAAGAGCAAGGACGGUACCUCAGGAAUAAGUCUCGGCUAACUACGU